rnacentral:rRNA from 1 species
UACGAAGGGGGGCUAGCGUUGCUCGGAAUCACUGGGCGUAAAGCGCACGUAGGCGGAUUCUUAAGUCGGGGGUGAAAUCCUGGAGCUCAACUCCAGAACUGCCUUCGAUACUGGGAAUCUUGAGUCCGGAAGAGGUGAGUGGAACUGCGAGUGUAGAGGUGAAAUUCGUAGAUAUUCGCAAGAACACCAGUGGCGAAGGCGGCUCACUGGUCCGGUACUGACGCUGAGGUGCGAAAGCGUGGGGAGCAAACAGG